rnacentral:rRNA from 1 species
GAUGAACGCUGGCGGCGUGCCUAAUACAUGCAAGUCGAGCGAACAGACGAGGAGCUUGCUCCUCUGAUGGUAGCGGCGGACGGGUGAGUAACACGUGGAUCACCUACCUAUAAGUCUGGGAUAAAUUCGGGAAACAGGAGCUAAUACCGGAUAACAUGUUGAACCGGAUGGUUCAACGGUGAAAGACGGUCUUGCUGUCAAUGAUAGAUGGAUCCGCGCCGCAUUAGCUAGUUGGUAAGGUAACGGCUUACCAAGGCAACGAUGCGUAGCCGAACUGAGAGGAUGAUCGGCCACACUGGAACUGAAACACGGUCCAGACUCCUACGGGAGGCAGCAGUGGGGAAUCUUGCGCAAUGGGCGAAAGCCUGACGGAGCAAUGCCGCGUGAGUGAAGAAGGUCUUCGGAUCGUAAACCUCUGUUAUUAGGGAAGAACAAAUGUGUAAGUAACUAUGCACGUCUUGACGGUACCUAAUCAGAAAGCCACGGCUAACUACGUG